rnacentral:tRNA from 1 species
GCUGCUCUAGCCCAACGGCAGAGGCGCCGCGCUCAGAACGCGGAGGUUCCGGGUUCGAAUCCCGGGAGCAGCA